AUUGAACGCUGGCGGCAGGCCUAACACAUGCAAGUCGAGCGAGCGGCGGACGGGUGAGUAAUGUCUGGGAAACUGCCUGAUGGAGGGGGAUAACUACUGGAAACGGUAGCUAAUACCGCAUACCAUCAGAUUUGCCCAGAUGGGAUUGUCUAGUAGGUGGGGUAACGGCUCACAUAGGCGACGAGCCCUAGCUGGUCUGCGAGGAUGACCAGCCACACGUGAACUGAGACACGGGCCAGACUCCUACGUGAGGCAGCAGUGGGGAAUAUUGCACAAUGGGCGCAAGCCUGAUGCAGCCAUGCCGCGUGGGUGAAGAAGGCCUUCGGGUUGUAAAGCACUUUCAGCGUGGAGGCGUUACCCGCAGAAGAAGCACCGGCUAACUCCGGGCCAGCAGCCGCGGUAAUUC
rnacentral:rRNA from 1 species